GUUUCUGUAGUGUAGCGGUUAUCACAUUCGCCUUACAUGCGAAAGGCUCCCGGUUUGACCCCAGGCAGAAACA